AUGAGAAAAUAAUCAUGUCAUCUGCAUACGCCAAAUGAUUGAUCUUUGGACUCCACUUUGGCAUCCCAAAUCCACAAAAGUACAGAUGCUUGGUUAUGAACUGUUGGACUGUUUGUUGCUGCAUUAGCUGCCACCAUUGCCAAUUGAUUAACAGGUGGACGAAUGGGAAUUGGCUCAACUUCCUGUUGCUCCUGCAUUGCAGCAUUUAAAGUGCAAGGUUUCAG